rnacentral:sRNA from 1 species
CCUUUUGCACAUCCGUCGAAUAGGGAUUGAUUUUAAUAGCUUUAGAUUCCAAAGUUGAGGUCUUUUGAACCAAAACAUUGAUGGCCCCAAUUACGAAGGGUUCCAGAUGAAUGGGUCCCGAGUUGACAGAAGCAGGCCGAUCAGAAAUCGGUUCAGCUGAUUUCAGAACUUCAUUGAUGGAUCGUUGUGAGUGGACAAAAUGAAGUUUCUGACGAGGAACGUAUGGGAGCGGUUCGAUGACCAGACAACAGGAGGGACUGAUGUCAUGAAACGUUGUUACCAAACGAAUGUCUUUCCAAUCAUUUUCAACCUAAUAACCAAAGUAAACCUAAUCAAAUCAAAAUGCAUAAAUAUCAUUUAAAUGAAAGUUUCUUUGUUUAAAAUGGUUUUCUAUUUAUAAAGAAUAAAACUUUGCAAAGGU